rnacentral:rRNA from 1 species
UGAGUACGAGACGCUAAGGCGUCGAAGUAGUGGAUGUCAUACUUCCAAGAAAAGCUUGCACUGUCAUAAAUAGAAAACGCCUGUACCAUAACCGACACAGGUGGGUAGGUAGAGUAUACUAAGGGGCGCGAGAUAACUCUCUCUAAGGAACUCGGCAAAAUAACUCCGUAACUUCGGGAGAAGGAGUGCCUUAUUCGUAAGGCUGCAAUAACAAGAUCCAAGCAACUGUUUAUCAAAAACACAGGUCUCCGCUAAGUCGUAAGACGAUGUAUGGGGGCUGACGCCUGCCCAGUGCCAGAAGGUUAAAGAAGUCGGUUAGCAUUAGCGAAGCUGGUAACUGAAGCCCUGGUGAACGGCGGCCGUAACAAUAACGGUCCUAAGGUAGCGAAAUUCCUUGUCGGGUAAGUUCCGACCCGCACGAAAGGCGUAAUGAUUUGGAUACUGUCUCGGAGAGGGGCUCGGUGAAAUAGACUUGUCUGUGAAGAUGCGGACUACCUGCACCAGGACAGAAAGACCCUAUGAAGCUUUACUGUAACUUGAAAUUGAAAUUGGACUUUAUUCGCGCAGUAUAGGUGGGAGGUGUUGAUUAUAAUCUUGCGGGAUUAUUGGAGCCAUCAGUGAGAUACCACUCUUGUAAUGUUAGAUUUCUAACUUUGAAUCAUUAUCUGGUCAAAGAACAGUUUCAGGCGGGCAGUUUGACUGGGGCGGUCGCCUCCUAAAUGGUAACGGAGGCGUACAAAGGUUUCCUCUGAACGGGUAGAAAUCGUAUCUAGAGUGUAAAGGCAUAAGGAAGCUUGACUGUGAGACCUACAAGUCGAGCAGGGACGAAAGUCGGUCUUAGUGAUCUGACGGUACUGAGUGGAAAGGCCGUCACUCAACGGAUAAAAGUUACUCUAGGAUAACAGGCUGAUCUCCCCCAAGAGUUCACAUCGACGGGGAGGUUUGGCACCUUGAUGUCGGCUCAUCGCAUCCUGGGGCGGUAGUACGUCCCAAGGGUUGGGCUGUUCGCCCAUGAAAGCGGUACGCGAGCUGGGUUCAGAACGUCGUGAGACAGUUCGGUCCAUAUCCGGUGUAGGCGUUAGAAUAUUGAGAGGAGCCUUCUUUAGUACGAGAGGACUGAGAAGGACAUACCUCUGGUGUACCAGUUAUCGUGCCAACGGUAAACGCUGGGUAGCUAUGUAUGGAGUGGAUAACCGCUGAAAGCAUCUAAGUGGGAAGCCCACCUCAAGAUAAGUAUUCUCAU